rnacentral:tRNA from 1 species
GUAAACAUUGACUUUUGUCCUGCCUUUUAAGCAGGGUGUCCGGGGUUCGAAUCCCCGACGAGGCACCA